AAAAAAUACCGUAAGGACCCAAGAUACCUAGACUCUAGGACCUAGAUAUAUAGACUAAUACCUAAAAAUCUGAGGGGGGAGCUGAAAAGCUGUGCCGCAAUACACAAAAAUACACCAUCCGUCCCUGUCCUUCAUCUUCUUCAUCAACUUGUAGGCGACCUUCAUCUCCAAUUCCAACAACAAUACCACAACAACCUUUCAGCAGCCCAACAAAACAAACGAUCCCACCCUAAACGAUCCCCCAUUCUUCUUCUUCAAUGAAGGGAUAACCUAGAGAUCCCUAAGGCUAAGAGACAAAGCGGCAUCGAUAAUAGUACAGAGGAACUGCUCGAUCUCCUUCUCCACACGCACCACCCUUCAUCAAAAGACGCCGGCCAGAACUCCUCCAAUCUACUCCAACCGUCGCUCCUCACUGCUCACACACAUACACACCAACAGAAGCUUUUGUUUUAGUCGCGUUACAGUUUCCUUGUCUUCGAUCAAUUGAAAAUCAAGGUUGAGAUGCUUGAAGUUUCGGACAGCAUGGUCUACAACUUAUUCCGUCGAGGUUCGAGUGUCGUCCGACGAGAUUCUGCCUCAUCGAGGUCUUGAACUAUUUUUCUUAUUUUCUCUUGGAUUACCUACUGGGAAGCUCAUUAUUUGGUUCAGGGUUUUCUUCUUCCUCUGUUUCAGUUCGUUCCUAUUAUGUGAUGAUUCGAUGCUUCAGUUGUGAUAUAAGUUUAAUGUGAAUUUUUGAAUUUAUGUUUGGUUGAUUCUUUGCAUCUGAUCCUCUAUAGUUUGAACUGAUCAGUGAAGUGCGACUCUUUUUCUGAUAAGUAUUAUGUGAUGAAAUAUUGGUGUUUUUAUCUUUGGUUUCUGUUUAUGAAUAGUUUGUCUAUUAUAUUUUGUGUUAAGAUGUAGAGAUUCUUCCGUUAAUUAUUUGAUUGGUUAUAACUUAUAAGAAGUUAAUAUUCAUGUGAAUCAACGUGCCAAAUAAACCUCUUGUUCAAUGAAUACAAACAAAGAGUGGAAUUGGACAACAAAACAUGAAAUUAAUUAGGGUGAUUUGCAGUUCUUAUGUUUAAAGGGCAUUUCCAUUUGAGCCAGAAAUUUUGACGUGUUAUUGGGUCAAACUUGGGGCCAAAAUGCAUAAGUUUCCUUCUUCCUUUGCACAUUCUAGAAACUAUUUCCCUUUUCGCUAAUAGUAGCCCCACAACAAUCUUAAAUUAGCUUUAGGAAAAAUAAUGAACAUUCGUAAUUUAUUUUAGGCGCGUUAAUUAAAUAAAUUAUUAUGGCUACGGAAACAGUUUCCCCGACGUAGUUGUGAUACUUAAUUUCUAAAACUCGGGGUACAUUUAUGUGACCCGGCCGUAAUUUAAUUUUUUUAAUAUAAUAAACACAUUGCGGAUCGUGGGUAAGAUUCUCGUGACAUGAUUCGCAAACGUGUAAUCAAUAAUUAAUUGUAUAAUAACUGGAUUAUUUAGAAGCAGUUAAAAAGGAAUAAAAAUGCACAUAGAUUUCAAAGAUGUUUUGAAAUCAAAUAAAAGGCCAAUAAUAAUAGUUGCGUGACCGUGCUAAAACCACGAAAUCCAAGAAUGCCUAACACUUUCUCCUAGGUUAACAGAAUUUCUUGCCCAGAUUUAUGUGUUUGCGGACUGUAAAACAGAGUCAAUCUUUUCUCGAUUCAAGAUUUGAGACAGUUUUUUGGGACACCAUAAAUUAUCCCAUGUGGAGACUCUUAAUUUAAAAUAAAAUAACUGUUUCGAUUGUCACUUAAGUUGGAAAAAACUCUCUUAUACUCUUCCGUGUGUAGGUAAAAGGAGAUGUGACAUCACCACACUCAAAACAAGCUUUGGGAGGACGUGGUGGCUGUGACCGGUUAGGGCCAGGUUUGCUGGACUGACCUCUGAAAUCACCCCGCACAGGAGGCGCGCUAGAAACCGGAGGUGCAUAAUAAGGCUCCUGAGAUGUAGGAGGAGCUGGGGCACUACUGGUUGCAGGAAGAGCUGAAUGAUUAGGGCGACUCAUAUAACCCUUAUCAUGAUGACCUGCAGCUAGGGUAGGGGCACCAGAAUAAUGGCCCGACUCUCGAGACCUCUUGGUCUCCCUCUCCUCUCUCUCCCUAGCGUGCAUACUGUUAAAGCUAGUUAAUGAUUAAAGCUAGCUAAGUUGGUGUGAAUGAGA
rnacentral:lncRNA from 1 species